GGAAGGCCUGUAGCUCAGUGGUAGAGCAUCGACUUUGCAUGAAGAAGUUCCCAGGUUCAAGUCCCACCAUCUCCA